UACGUAGGGCGCAAGCGUUAUCCGGAAUUAUUGGGCGUAAAGAGCUCGUAGGCGGUUUGUCGCGUCUGCCGUGAAAGUCCGGGGCUCAACUCCGGAUCUGCGGUGGGUACGGGCAGACUAGAGUGAUGUAGGGGAGACUGGAAUUCUGGUGUAGCGGUGAAAUGCGCAGAUAUCAGGAGGAACACCGAUGGCGAAGGCAGCUCGCUGGGACGGUACUGACGCUGAGACGCGAAAGCGUGGGGAGCGAACAGG
rnacentral:rRNA from 1 species